UCAGGAUGAACGCUGGCGGCGUGCUUAACACAUGCAAGUCGAACGAUGAACCUCACUUGUGGGGGGAUUAGUGGCGAACGGGUGAGUAACACGUGAGUAACCUGCCCUUGACUCUGGGAUAAGCCUGGGAAACUGGGUCUAAUACCGGAUAUGACCUUCCAUCGCAUGGUGGUUGGUGGAAAGCUUUUGUGGUUUUGGAUGGACUCGCGGCCUAUCAGCUUGUUGGUGGGGUAAUGGCCUACCAAGGCGACGACGGGUAGCCGGCCUGAGAGGGUGACCGGCCACACUGGGACUGAGACACGGCCCAGACUCCUACGGGAGGCAGCAGUGGGGAAUAUUGCACAAUGGGCGCAAGCCUGAUGCAGCGACGCCGCGUGAGGGAUGACGGCCUUCGGGUUGUAAACCUCUUUCAGUAGGGAAGAAGCGAGAGUGACGGUACCUGC
rnacentral:rRNA from 1 species